CAGGGAUUGCCUCAGUAACGGCGAGUGAAGCGGCAACAGCUCAAAUUUGAAAUCUGGCCCUUUCAGGGUCCGAGUUGUAAUUUGUAGAGGGUGCUUUGGUGUUGGCCGUGGUCUAAGUUCCUUGGAACAGGACGUCACAGAGGGUGAGAAUCCCGUACGUGGCCGCCGGUCUUCACCGUGUAAAGCCCCUUCGACGAGUCGAGUUGUUUGGGAAUGCAGCUCUAAAUGGGAGAUAAAUUUCUUCUAAAGCUAAAUAUUGGCCAGAGACCGAUAGCGCACAAGUAGAGUGAUCGAAAGAUGAAAAGCACUUUGGAAAGAGAGUCAAAAAGCACGUGAAAUUGUUGAAAGGGAAGCGCUUGCAGCCAGACGUGCCCGCAGUUGCUCACCUGGGCUUUUGCCCGGGGCAUUCUUCUGCGGGCAGGCCAGCAUCAGUUCGGGCGGUUGGAUAAAGGCCUCUAUCACGUACCAUCCUUCGGGAUGUCCUUAUAGGGGAGGCGCAACACGACCAGCCUGAACUGAGGACCGCGCAUUUGCUAGGAUGCUGGCGUAAUGGCUGUAAGCGGCCCGUCUUGAAACACGGACCAAGGAGUCUAACAUCUAUGCGAGUGUUUGGGUGUAAAGCCCGGACGCGCAAUGAAAGUGAACGGAGGUGGGAACCCCUCGGGGUGCACCAUCGACCGAUCCUGAAGUCUUCGGAUGGAUUUGAGUAAGAGCAUAGCUGUUGGGACCCGAAAGAUGGUGAACUAUGCCUGAAUAGGGUGAAGCCAGGGGAAACCCUGGUGGAGGCUCGCAGCGGUUCUGACGUGCAAAUCGAUCGUCAAAUUUGGGCAUAGGGGCGAAAGACUAAUCGUACCAAAGAGUC
rnacentral:rRNA from 1 species